rnacentral:rRNA from 1 species
AAAUAGAACUUUGCAGAGAGAGUUAAGAGGGCGUGAACCGUUAUUGGCAAACGAAUCGGAGCCACGAAGUCGUUUCGUUGUAGUUGGGCUCGGUUCAGCCUAGGAGGACCCCUUCCUAGGUGUACUCUGAGCCUGGCCACUUUGUAAGCGUACACUGCAACCAGUUAGACGAUUGGAGAUGGGCCCAGUUGCGGAGGCUUGUUUCGGCAGGUCACUGUAGCGAUCGGCUUGUCUACCAGGGUUAGUAGUAGUGAGGCAGGAUUUAUCCUGUGUUGCUGCUGGGCUCUGGUGGGUGAACUAUCACCAAAGACUGACUGGCAAAAUGAAAAUCGCCUCGCGGCGUUUCCUUAGAAAGCGGUGCUUGCAUCGGCGUUUACACAUCUGACCAUGGGGUUUAAGCUCAGCAUUCUUGAAUUUGGACUUGCUGGCUACCAGUGGGGCAACUCCUGGUGCCAGUGUAGCUUCCAUCUAAUCGGGUGUUGACUUGAUUCUAUGUUGUUCAGGUGUGCUACGAUAGAGCGUCAAUGUAAUGUGACUCGCAAUCUUAUUGGCAGUGAGUAGGUCGGCUUUCCGAACGACCCGUCUUGAAACACGGACCAAGGAGUCUAAUUAGGCAUCAGUCGAUCGGUCUUGAUAGGCCAGACUGUGGAUUCGUUCCAUAAAUUGAAGGCGUAGAGAAAUCAAAUCAUGUGAUCGCUUGGGCAAUACCAGCUCUUGCGCGCAACAUGUGCCUGUUCGUAUAGCAAUGUUAGCAAUAACUUGCUGGGCGGAGCAAAGAGAUGCCUGAUUGGUACCCGAAAGAUGGUGAACUAUGCUUGGGCAAAUUGAAGCCAGAGGAAACUCUGGUGGAGGAUUGUAGCGAUUCUGACGUGCAAAUCGAUCGUCAGACCUGAGUAUAGGGGCGAAAGACUAAUCGAACCAUC